rnacentral:lncRNA from 1 species
UAGUUUAAUUUAUAAUUCAAAAAAAAAAGCGACACGUCAGCAGCCACGUCAGCGGCCCAGUCAGCAGCCCUGGCCAACCAGGACCUGCCGCGUGGCAAGACCACGUCGACCAGGGAACGGGCCACGUCGGCGAUCCGCGUGCGCGCGAUCGAACGGCCCAGAUGCAUCCCCGCGCGCACGAACGCCCCAGAUCAAGCGUGCGCACGGACGGCCCAGAUGCAAUCGCACGGACGGCCCAGAUGCACGCGCACGGAC